UAGCUCAGUGGUAGAGCUCUUGCCUUGCAUGCAUGAGGCCUUGAGUUCGAUUCUUUA
rnacentral:tRNA from 1 species